rnacentral:rRNA from 1 species
CACGUAGGGUGCAAGCGUUGUCCGGAAUCAUUGGGCGUAAAGAGCUCGUAGGCGGCUUAGUAAGUCGGGUGUGAAAACCCCAGGCUCAACCUGGGGACGCCACCCGAUACUGCUAUAGCUAGAGUCCAGUAGGGGAGUGUGGAAUUCCCAGUGUAGCGGUGAAAUGCGCAGAUAUUGGGAGGAACACCAGCGGCGAAGGCGGCACUCUGGGCUGGUACUGACGCUGAGGAGCGAAAGCGUGGGUAGCGAGCAGG